CUUCAUUAGCAUACCUGUUUACUCCCAGCUGUGCUUUGAAGUAGAUUGGGGCAGGCUUCCCACCCGGCAAAUGCUAUUCCUAGACUGGAUCCACCACAGUGGAAGAUUGACAGCUACCUACAGGGAAAAAGGACUUCAUGACUGCCAAACCCUUGGAAGUGCCCCUCAUGGCUGCUCUGUUCUGCAUAAAGCAAAACCUGCAUUUGCAUCCUGCUCUGGCUUCAGGGGAUAAAUCGGAGGUGUUUUGGCUGAGGAGCAGCUCUUCCCUGGGGGGAAAAGAGGCCAAAAGCCAAUUCACAGAAAGACAGGUUGAAUACUAAAACUCAAGAUGACAAUCUGACAGCCACUUGGCAUCUGCUCUCAGAUGGCAGCCAGCUGGCUUCUCACAACAGUAUCUGCACCAGCAACAUUGUUAGGAAGAGCUUGCUGAGAAAGGCAGGGCAGUCCUUGCUUUGGCUCGACACCUCCUGCGAGGCUCCUCUUGUGCGGAGCCCGGUGGGUUGGUGCGUCACAGAGGGGCUGCUCUGCCACUGCUGCCCUGCCCCACAACAUGUGCACCCCCUGGCAUCUGUCAGGAAUUAGCAAAUUACUGAUGUUAAUCAGUAUUAUAAUUUUCUGGGCUUCAUCCUGCUAAUACACAAGAGGUUAUAGCUUUAUGCAAGGCAGGGCCAACCAUUUGACUCAAAGGACAACCUGACUGUCAGGUGAAGGCUUCAGAAUGUUGGCUCUGUGGACUUGGAAUUGCUUUUGUUUGCACAGUGCCUUGCAGAAGAUGAACCCACCUAUUGUUUUGAUUCCUAGCGACAGUAUGGCUUUGAUUAGAUAUUUUGUUGGGAGACAGCAAAAGUUCCCAUUCUUGUUCUGCUCUAGAACAGGUUGAAAAACCUGUAGGGUGAAAACCAGUUGUCAUACAAAGAUGCCAAGCUCUGCUCUGUCAUGGGGACACCUUGCAGCUAUUAUCAGGCCCCGCUGACUACAGUGCUGAAAAUGUGCUAGUGCUGGUGGUGUGUACUUCACUUGAUGUAUAAGCCAUUGUCCCCAGCAGGGAUAAAAAUAAGGGCAGGGAGAAAUGCCUGCAUCUACCAACAAGGACAUUACUGCAUCAAGAAUGGACCUGAGGAGUCUAAACAGCUGAAAAAUGUGUAUCAACUUCAGGUCUUUUUCUCCAUCCUGUCUGCACCAGGUUUUUCAAGUGCUCUUUUUUUUUGGUCUGAGAAUUCCUGUUCUAUCUCUGGUUUACUGAUAGCUGUCACAGACACACAAUCCGUCAUCUUAAGUAUUUGUAUAAUCAUGAAUUCAAUGCAGAACACUGAGAGCUUUCCACUUCUGGCAAUUAACUUGAGAUAAAUAAAAGUGGUAAGAGGAGGCAUUAAGUUACCCACCUGCAGAAAACUGGCUCUCUGCUGAGUGCUCUUGACAGAUGAGUACAUCUGAGGAAGUGCUAAUUGCAAUGUAUUCCUCAAUGGUUUUUUUGUUGAUGCACAAAAGAUUGAGAAAAUAGGAAGAAAAUGAAAAUGCCUCUGUCUUUUGAGUCACAGUGGAAAAUAUACAGGAAUUGCACUCUCAGAUAAAGAAUAUGCUAAGAACAGGGGAGCAAGCAGAGGAUUGGUGCCAUGAAUAGAAAUCUCCGUCUGUGCUCUGGCCAUGGUCCAGACUGUAUGACAUAGUUUACCUGAUACAGUGCCCAUUUGGAUCAUUUAUAUAACAUCAUAGGUGCUAUGAGUAAUGCAGGAAGAUGCUCUGUGUGACCCAAGAGUCUCAUGUUGAGAGUGAGACAGGCACAAUACAAAGGUUCAUUUUUGAUGCAUACACAGGAAAAAGCAGCACUGGAUCAGAUGAGAAACAAAGCUCAGGUAAAGAAGCAAGUGCUGAUCUUGGCCAUAAAAAUGGCAUGAGAAAAGACAAAGGAUUGCUAGGUGGAGACAGAGUGCUGUGAAGUAAUAGAGCCAAGGGUGAGGACUGAGAGUGCAACAGAAAGAAUGGUGAGAUUAGACAGAGCUGUGUGUCUCUAGGAAAUGAAGUUACAAAGACUGUGGACUUGGAAGAAAACAGGAAACCGGGUUAUGGGAGUGGUGGACUGUAAUAUACAUAUAUAGUAUGCAGCUAGUUAAGCAGAAAAUCUGACUUGGUAUACAGUAUUUUCAAAGGCAUGAGCAAAAAAUAGAGGCAGGAUAAAGGCAAAAGUGUCUGGAGUAGAUGCAACCAGUGCAGUGAAUGCCUGACAUGAUGGGAGCCGUGUGAGCUGGUGGCACUGCUAACCCACUUUGGGUGAGUCAGCUUGGGAUGAAGCAGAGUUCAUCGGGUAGGAGAGAAAUGGAGUGUGCUGGCAUCCCCAUGGCCAUAACUAAUGGGAGUUGUAAGAAAUCCAUACCCCCACACUUAUCUUCCACCCUCUGUCCCCAAAAACUGCACCAAGUGUACCUCUUGUGCAUUAGGCUAUAAAGACCUCUCAAAAGUGAGUGCAACAACACCAGAUUGGAAAUAUAUCUGAAUUUAACUGCUACAGAGCUGCAUUCAACCCACUAAACCAAACGAUUCCCCAAAGGACAGUAUCACAAUUGUGCAAUUUCCUACCUCUAAAAGGGAAAAUGCAUGCUGUAUGAUACAGAGGGCACAGCAGGAAGGGUAGAUGUGAUCUGCUAGAAACAAUUUCUAUAAACCUGCACUAUCUCUUCUCCAUGUUAUAUUGCAGUGAUUAUUUUUUUCCUCCAUAGAGAAACCAUAAAAAAGUCAAAGAACAACCAAAGGUUUUUUGCCAAAGGUAGAGCAGAUCUUUUGGCUCUUCAAAUGCUACCCCUUUGGAGAAGGGAGAAAUGCAGCCAGGAUUGCAUGUGGCAGCUCAGGAAUAUCUGGGGGAGCAGCACAAAUGUUCACAACAACCUCUGACCUGCUGCACAGAAUCUGCCCCAUGCAGAUCAGGAAUGAUGAUUACAACAUAGACCUAGCGUCAGCCAAAGAGCACAGCGUGUUCGAAAGUCUCAUUUACAGCAUUAUUUGGGUCAGUAGAAACCAGGAAGGAAAUGGUUACGUGAAUGUUUCUUCACUGUAUUGUUUACAGGAUACACAGGGAAAUUUUUGGCUUCAUAUUUGGGUAGUUCAAAAGGCAGAGCCAGCAUAGUUGAGAAGAAGAAUUGGCAGCACUGAAUUUGGCCAUAGCAAAGGCAGAUUUCAGUGCUGACUGCCAGAGAUUACGUCUUGUUCAUCCUUUCAGUGGCAGUUCUGACAGGCUCCCACAUCAAAUCACUCCAGCUCAGGCCAGCAGAGCUAUUCUGGCAGGGUUUAUCCGCUUACAUAAGUAGGGAAAAGAUGAGAUGCGACCUUGACUGGCGUAACCGAGCUGGGAGCAGCCUCCAGUUCUGAAGCACUUUUCUUGGCAGGACCGUGCAGUUACCUGGAUGACCUGGUUUGUUUUGUGAGGCUUCUAAUACCUCUAUUUUGCACUGUGGCUGUGCUGUAGGCUGCCUGCACAGACCUGCCUCUGGCUCUCAAGUCUGGGUUUAGUGGCCAUUUUAGCCUGACUGGAGUUUCUGGAGUGGGACAGCACAAAAUAUUGUUUUUCUACUGCAUAUAUUUAUAUGGUGGCAAUAGAAAAUGUUACAGAGUGUCAGAUGGAUAAAAUUUUCUGUUACAAAGAGCAGAGAUAUUCCAGUAACCCAUAUCACUGUCCUGUUGUUAUACAAUGUACUUUGACAGAAAGUUCAAAACAUCUUUUGGACUAGGAUUGAUGAAGGAAGGGCCAGCAUCAUUCAAACAAUAUUGGAUUUAGAUUUUCAAAAAUCAGGAUAAACUAUUCUUCCAGUGGCCUAAUCCUAUUUGCUUCAUUAAAGGCCAGCUGCUUUGCAGGGAACUGCAAUUCAGGGGAGAAAAUUCUUCAAACAGAAGAAAAUGGCUUUAGCCUUUUGUGUGUGAGAAAGAGGGCAAAGAAAAGAUUAUGGAAGACAAACUAUGACACAUUUGUUUUGAACCAUUUAAACAGCUCUAGGCAUGGGCUGUAUUUUUCAGUAUUUUUCAAACUUGGGGUUUUUGUAUUGUACCAGUGCUACAAUAGAACUGGUAAGCAACUGAUAUAAUUUGAUGUUUUUAUUUCUGUACAAGGGUGGUUUACUAAUUAUUUAUUCCAUGUUUUCAACACAAAUUCAUGGAUCAGUAAAAUAACAAAUUGAGCACAGGUCGGAAGAGUUCUAGCUUAUUCUCCUGACUUCUACUCCAUCCUUUCUUUCCCAUCUAAUCAGACUUGGAGAAGUAGACAAUAGAGAAAAGAUGGAAUGCCAGCUGGAAAGAACUGCUAAUGGCCUCUUGCCGUGGGAACAAUCAUUUGUUAAGCUCUCUCCUGGGAUAGGCACUGAUUAGUCAUAGUCCUUUUGAAGGGAGCCUGGUCUGUUCUUGAUCAAGAUAUGCGAAUUUAAAUCAGAACUUGAGGAUCUCCAGAGAGUUGGGAAUUUGCUUCAUCAGUCCAGUUAAACUGACUCUAGGCUAUGGUUAUCAUCCACAGCUAAGAAUCCUGAGUUGAUUAUGAGGUAAAUACAACAAUCAAAAUCCUACUUAAUCUAAUAUACCUGACAUUAGAUCAAGUUCCUUUGAUACCUUUCAGCAGAAGAAGACCAGAGCACUUUCCAGUGUUGCACUUUGACUGUCUUUCAUAAUUAUUUGUUAUAACCGUUCAUAAUGAUUUGGCAGUCACGGCCAGCAUUGAAGCCAAUCAAGAUCCUUUAUAAUCACAAAACAUUUCACUUUUUCACUACUUCUGUGUGUUUCAACCACAGCUUGCCACCACUGGGCUCUGAGAUCCAUGCAGUUGCAACUACUACAGAUGCAUUGAAAGUUGCCAGGGAAAGUGGGAGAAGGAAUUGAGCCCCAACACAGAUUUAUUUUGAAAAUUAAAUCCAUUAAAGAGUGAAAAGUAACCUCAUAUCUUCUUUCUUGGCCCAUUGUUUUCCUAUGAGAUGAAUAAAUUUAAAAAAGGUUGUGGAAAAACUAUUGUAUUUUUUCAGUUUCACUUCUAUUUUAGGUUAUUCAGGGAGGCAGAUGUAUGUAGUCUGACAGGAGGCAUUAAGCUCAGUGAACAUUUUCAGUUCAAAAGCUUCACCCCCCCUUUAAGCAAAAUAUUUCAAAAAGAGGAGAGUGAGCAAUUACCUGCUGCAGCAAACUUAGCAAACGUUUUUUUGAGACUCAUGGCACCAUUUUUCCUGCACAUCAAAGAAAACUAUCACUCUUCAUUAAAUAUAUCAAUUAACUUAUCACAGGAUCUAAUUGAUAUUUCGAUUCCAGCAAAUAACACGCUUGCUUUUUUUGUUCUCCAGCUGCACAAUAUCUGACAGCUCACUGAGCAGUCAAUGUUGUGGAGAAAUCAUGAUCAGUUUUUUAAAGUCUGUCAAUCAUUCAAAUAUUCAAGUUCUCUUAAGGCAGAAAAAGUUGCUGAAUUAUAUUAGAUAUUGUGAGUUUCAGUCUCAGGCAAAGCCAGAAAUAUAUGAGAAAAAUAAACACUUGAACAAAAAUUUUCUAAUUUAUAUGUAUUUUGAGCUCUGAAAAAGAAAAUUCAAUUGAUUGAUUCAUUUUUAGAAAUUAUUAUCUCUUCUUUAGCAGGAGCUUCAGGAUCUGGGUGUGAGCAGAAACAGGAGCUUGUUCUUGUGUUUGUGCUUGAAGUGGGAGUUUAGCCUGGAGUAGUCAAGGCUGAAGGACACUGUUUUUUAAAGGGUGGGAGAGGAAGAAACUGGAACAGAUUAGAUCUUAUUCCAGAACUUUGAGCUUACACGUUAAUUGCCCUGUGACAAAAAGGGUGACAGCUACCGUGGAAAAUUGUCUGACAUUUGCUUCAAUUCCUGUAAUUCAGUGUUAUUUCUGUGCAGGCCUGGUGCUGGUGUCUCUGCAAAAGUAAAGCAAGAAAUCUCACCUAGAUGAAAGGUCAAAUUAAUGCUCUCCUAGAUACAUGGUUGAGUCCCUAACAGAAGGUACAGUGCUGAUUCUACAGUGAGAGUCACUGCUCUUGAAAUCUGGUGGAUGGUGAAGAGGAGGCAGGGAAAUACACUUGCAUUUGAACUUCAGACAACAGCUCACAUUUUGCAAGAGAAGUUUUUAGAGCAUUUUAUUGUAUUUAUUCUGUUCUCUGUGGAAAAUGUUGUAAGGAAAAAAAGUAACUUUUCUCCCUAGGUGAUUUCAGGUCUUAAUUCUGAUCUUUUCCCUUGAUUUUUCUUAGUCUGGAAGGAUUAACUUUAAGGGUUUAAUUUUAGUAUAAAGUCUUUCAAAUCAACUUGUAAGUCUGUGAAAUGACAACCACCGGUUUUUAAAUUUUUUUUUCCACUUUGUCAAAGCACAUUUUUUCUCAUAUUCUUCUCUUCAGUGUAUACACCAUUAAUGUAGUCAAAUAAUCUCAUUGGCUUUAAAGAUUCUCUCACUGUCUCCAUGGUCCUACUAAACUUUAAGAAUCACAGGUCCCAGCUGAAAAGAGUACUUUCCAUUUGUUCUUGUGCCUUUCUUUGUCCUAUUUCUGUCCUUUGUUUUCUCCCCAGAAAGCUCCGGGCUUGAUUCAAUUGCCAUUUGCAGAGUUGCUAGAAUUGAUGAAAUAUUAGAAUAAAAAUAGUGGGUUGCUAGUGCAGAGAAGCUCCUUAUCUUUGACUUCAAGUGACACUGGAAGGCCCUCACCCAUGUUCAGCUUUACAUUCCACCUCCCAAACCACUUAUCCUUUGGAGAAGAAGGGCCACAUUAUUCUGCUCUAGUGCUUUCCACCAAAACUGGGUAUCUCAUUCUGAUGUAGCUCAUUCUGUGUCCCCCUCUCCUGCUCUUCACGUUCCCUGCUGAUGCUGCCUGUGUCCCUAAGGCUGAAGGCUGGUGUCCCUCAGAGCCAGUGCCUGGGGACCUUCCCCUGCCCCAGAACACUUCACAGCAGUGGGUAGUAGUGGCCCAGGGUUUUGGCAGAAACUCAGGUUUUUGGAGACCCAAAGCCAAUGAUGAAGAUGCAAUCUGUAGUUAAAAUGUUGGGUGGUAACUGGAGCUGGUGAGCAGGCUGGUUUGCAUUCAGCCUGUGAAACGUGGCUGUUGAGGGUCAUGGACACAGGCUGGGAUCCCUGGUUGCAGUGGGGUCCGGGGGAGCAACAAAGACUCUGAUGGCUUUGAGAGCAGGGACUUGGGAGCAGCCACAAUAGGCAGUAUCUGCAAAGGCCCUGGUGCCAGGGCUGAGGGAAGCCCUAAGCAGUCCUUCAGAUCUGCCUUUGUCAACUGGAUGUUCAUCUUGAGACGUACUUAAUGAGGCUAAGCCAGGAAUUGUUUUGACUCAGUGUCUGAGCUGGAAUUCUUUGAAUAAAAUUUUUGGUUUUCUCUGCAGCCUCUUAGAAGCUUGAUUAUUCCACUAGAGACAUUUUGAGACCAAUCCCAUGAACAUAUUUUGAGCUUAUUAAAAGUGUGUCUUAAAACUGGCGCUUGCAAGCAGCAAUCAAUGAAAACUUGGCACUGCUACACUGAACCACAUUGUGCUGGCCAUAAUAUUGAUGUUUGCUGAAUAUUUACAGCAUUAAAGCAACCGUUCAUUUAAAAGAAACAAGUUGGAAAGAGCUUACACUGAAAGCAGGAGUCUGUUAGUGCCAAAACAUAAAAUGCUUAAGAAGGAGGAGGAAAACUGGGGACUUGGCUGGUGAUGUUGAGACCUUGGAGCUUUAUGCUAAGCAAGAAUAAAGCAGUCUAUUGAAUAGCUGCUCACUCAUUCACUUCUGUCUGGACAUGUUCCAGAUGAGAAUGACUCCUGUAUUCUGCUGUGGAAUUUUACUCUUCCCCUAGAAAAAAACAGCAGUGAUCUAGCAGGCAUCAGGGUCCGGGAUGACCCUACAGAUGUACGAGCAUGUCCUGCGUGUGACAGAGGAACCUUUAACCUGCUACUGCUGACUGUGUGUGCUACACCUCCUCAUGUUUACAAGCAGAGGUGAAAACAGUGGGAUCCAUUGGUCCUUACUCCUUCUGCUCCUUACUCCUUCAUCAUUCAGGUCUGAUGCUGUUGGAGGAGCAAGCAAAUGGGCACAGAGGUUUAACCAUGAACUCUACAUUGAUGACAUCAAGAUCCACAGCAGCUUUAAGGAAAGUAAUUCCCUUUCUUGCUCCCAUGCUGGUUUGUAUCUGCACAAGCAGAUGCUAUCUUUAUGUGGGUGCAAAUGAGGAACCCUUGGUGCAUCAGCCCGUCUUGCACUGCUGCUUCUCUGAGCUGGCAGAGUGAUAAACAGCAGAGUUCAAAGUACAGCUCUUUCGGAGGUCAGUGGCUUGAAUCAGAUCUUGGCCUAGUCAGUUUUUCAUAUUGACACUCUUUGAGAUAAGAGAGAAGAUGCCCCUGAACUUUGAUGUCUGGUAAAAGACACAUGCCAGGCAGUGGAUUAUACAAAGAAACAUUAAUCUCCACUGUUUUGGACUCUGGGAUAAGAUAGCCAGGCUGCAGUCAGAACAAGAUAAGGCCCCUGUCUGAAAGAUUGGCUUAUCAAUAUAGUUAGCAAGUUAUUUUGCCUACAAGUAAUUAAUGUAAUUCCAGCUGAUUAUUUUGUUUAUAAUUUUCUGUUUUGCAGGGAGUAGUCCUUAUCCAUAGUAAGGCAGAGUUCAGUCACAAUUGCAGGUGCGGUGGUUUGAGUUAUGGAUAGAGUACUACAUCACAAGAUUGAGUUUAGGUCCUUGUCUGAGGGCUGGAUCAGAGAUUGUAAGAGUCUGUAUUUACUACAUCCAAAAGUAUCAUGGCCUGUCUUAAGCUGUAAGAGUGAUGCUGGCUUUGUCCCACUUGUUUAAUGGAAAGGGCACUGCAGAGCACUGAUUUUAUGAAAAGCAUGUAUAAAACAGGAUCUAGGACCAAAGUCAAAGAAAGUCAUCUGAUCUAAUAGCUACUGCAAUUGAUUCAAUACUCCCUGCAUAUUGGCCCUCUACAAAAGGAGUUUUCAUUGGGGAAUAUGACACAUGUUGAAAGUGAGUCCUACCCAAAAUCAUUUUAUCCAGCCUCAGCUAAAUAAUGCUUGACAGGGCAAUCCAAAGAGUAAUUCAGCAGAUUCAGUUUGAGCCCAGCAUCUGUUGAUUUGGAGCCACACACGAAAAAAACCCUUCAUAUAACAUGUUGCUUGUAGGAUGAACAAUCAAGAAGAAGAAAUGUGAUUAUUAAGGAAUAUGGCAAAACCCGGGGAAGUAAACUGCUCAGUGCUGAGCAAAUGGUUGGAGAGUACACAAAGAUACCUAGCAGCAUUUCUUGGAGACACAAAAUAAGAUUACCAAGACAAAAUGAAGAAAGUUAAUUCUUAAAGAUAAUAUUCAGGGUAAAAUAUUUAGUGUUUUUACUUCCGUUUCUUAAGUCUUGGAGAUUCAUAAUGAUGUACAGGAAUGUACCUUAGUAACUAUGUAGUUUGCAAAAGAAUUUUUUUGAGUUUUGCUUUUAAACAGUAACUUUGUUUCCAGUACUUUAAUGGCUGUGUACAUUCAGCCAUAAUCAACAUGAAUUUUCCCCUUUAAAUAUUAUCUGCUUUAAGAGAAACACUGGGGUGACUUUGACAGGACUAAGGCUUAUUGAUUAUCUUCCACACCACACUCACUCUUCCACCUGUACAUGGGAAGCAUUCAGGCCAUGCAUUUCCCAAGGCAUCCUGGAGGCCACCUUGGCCUGCCACCAGGGCAGUUUGCUACCAUGAAAUUGCACCAUUAAAACCAUUAAACAGCUACACUGCUCACUGUGACCACAGUAGUCUAAUGGAUGUCAGCAAGUGUUUUGUUUACUGCUUUGUUCACAGACAGUAAUAAUCUGGAGAUGCUCAGUUUCAUAAUCUGCUAUAUUUGGAACAACUAGCUUUAAAUUAGUUUCAUACUGACAAUCAACAAGAAAAAUUAUUUCAGCUUCCCCAGCACUUGUUCUUAGCAGCAGAAGUCACAAUGAGAAUAUGGAUUUUGUCAUUGUACACAAAUCCUAAGUAUAUCUGAGAGUCUCUGGCCUGGGAUAUGUUUUUUGCCAAGUCUUGAGGAAUGGGUUGAGAGUCUGUACCAUGAAAAACAAAGUUUUGAGAAUAAAUCUUUCCUCUAAAGUGUUAGUCAGUGGUCCUCUGACAAGAUGCAAGGAGUUAAAGGGACAUUUCAAUGACCAAGUGUCUUCAACCUGUCACAGGCUCUAAAGAAAGAGGCAAAUCAACUACUUGUGGAUGCUGUUCAACACCAAGGCACACACAGACACCAAGGACAUGAAUAUUCAGGAAAUGUGAUCUUACUGGUCCAGAGUUCAUGCAGGCUCUCAGUGAGAUCCAUGCUUUGUAUUUAAUUCCUAAUGGUUUAAAUUUCAAGCUGAAUACUAACUUCAAGAAUCAGAAGAAAGUGAAGUGCACAGAAGAAAACUAAAGAAAUAGUUUUGAAUAAAGCAACUUCAUAGGGAUUUUUAAGUGAAAACAUAUUUGGUUGGUAUGACAUUUUAAGCUGGUUUUACCCACAUUUUACAAAUGCAAAAAAAAAAAAAAAAAAAGGCAAGUGCAACAUUGUCUAUGUCUUUAUAUAGUAUGUAUUGUGUACAUACGGAAGGAUGUGCAUCUACAUGUACAUAUACUCAUGUCACAGAAGCAUCUAAAUAUCCAGUAUAUGCUCCAGUGUUUCAAGGGUACAAACUACACAACAAAAUAGUUAUGCAUAAGCAGGGACAAUUUCACUCGUUCUGUCAUUUGUGCUAAAUAAUUGUUGAUAGAUGCACUAAUACAGUGAGACACAACAUUUUUGCUUAUUGUUUUCCAUUUCAUUUUUACAUUACUCUACCAAAUAAUUUACUCUUUGCUUCUGAAACCCAGAGUAGUAGUGCACAAGAGCUGCUUGGUCCUCAUUUUACUAUCCUAGGUAUUUCUUCUAAAUUAAGCUUCCAGAUAAUUUGCAGAAAAAACUGAGAUAACAUGCAGACACACUUUGUGGGGGGGAAAAAUGUUGGGUAGGGGGAUGAUGUGCAUCAAGCCAAGCAGAUGCAGAACUGUUCUGGCUACAGAAAGGGGUACCUCAGGUUUCCUUGGGAAAACACCCUGCCAUUCCUCCAUGCUGUCACCUUUAAAAGAAUUGCUGACAAAGGCGGGGUUGUUGCAAUUAGCACAAUCAUUAUGAGGUGACAUUUAUGAAGUGUCACCUCCUGAGAAGGAGCUCUGAUACCAGGCAGGGAUGAGCUUUCAAAAUUUUCAUGAAGUGCACUUGGCAAUGUGUGAACUGGACUGUCUACAGUGUAUUCCACUUGCCAUGUUUGGCAGGGUGGUGAAGAUGGAAGGGGAACUAUGAUAAUGAUUUGAGCUUAGCAGUCUCCUGGGGUGAGCAGUAGAACCUACACAGAAAACAAAUGUUUUCUGAAGUAUCAGAAUUGCUCUGUGGGUGACUUGACUCUGUGAGUUCAAAGGACAUGAAAAAAUUCUUCACACACAUCCACAGAUGCAAAUAAGGACAAUCUGUGGCUAAAUGAGCUGUUCUCCCCACCCCAACCCCCCACCCCUUGCCCAGUAUUUUUUCAGGAAGAACAUACAAAAAAACCCUGACAUAUGGCAACUGUCAUGUCUGGGCUUGAAUUUUUCCUCCCUUUUGUACUUUGAAAGGUUUAAACCAGCUCUGCACAUUUUUCACUAACAAAUGACUCCUACAACCCUGCUGUUCUGCCACAAUCCAUCGGUUUCGUGGGGUGCUGCACAAAUACAUGCAUUUGUUCUUGUCAUAAAUCCACUGUGCAGUUUGCCUUCUUUCUGUGAUGUUCUCCAGGAGACCUGUACACUCACUUCCAGACUGUGAUCUACAAGCACAACAGAGCUUUGAGGGCCUGCUGGACCCACACUAAUUUAAUUGUUUAAUUGCACAAUUGUUGAUCAAUGUUCUUCUACCAUAUGCCUCUCUCUUUUCCCCCAAGCACGUGUAAGUAAUCAUCAACACACCUCUAAGCAGUGUAUCCUAGAAGAGCUACCACGUAUUUCUUCUGCAAUAAAGGAGCCAGGCUGACUGAUGAUAUGCAUUAUGGUGUCACCUCCAGCAGAAAUACUACGGGAGAGGUGAGCACAAAGAGCUAUGGAAGGGAAAUGAAACGUAAAAAAACCUUGGGAAAUACCUGGCAGAGAAACGCAUGACAGAAAACAAGGUGUGGUAUUCUGCUCAGUCUGGCAUGGAUAUUUGCUUUUUGGUGUUGCUACAGUCUGUUAUGCUCAGAGUAACAUGGAGUGAGACUUCUUCCGCUUGACUGCAAGAAAAAUAAGUCAGCCUCCAGUCUUCCUCCCUUCCCCAAACCAAAGCUUCUGCAAGUAACUGAAAAUGGAUACUUGUUUUCAGAAGCAUGACUUCAAGAGGAUGACAGGUUGUGUGCCUGGGCUUUGAGAAUUAUCACACUAUUCUUGAUGAGGGGGUGGAUACUUCUCUUUGAUAGAAGUGCAUAUAUCUCUAAAUAUAAUAUAGGUAUUAGCCAAGCAGAUUUUGAAAUUUCCAUUUAAAUAGGCAAAAGGUGAAUACCACUUACAAAUAACAAAACAAAUCUAUUUCUCCAGUACCUAAUCCACUUGCACAGUGAUAUUGUUGAAACUGAGUAUAAUGAGAUGUAUGUAAUGCGUCUAUCUGGAAAACACACUUUUUAUUUUAAGACUGAAACACCAGUCUGUUCUAUGGACUCAGGUUCUGCCCCUCAGAUUUCAGUUAUCUUGAUUUUUGAGAUUUUUGUAUCCAUACACAAAAUCCAAAUACAAUCCAGCUUAAGGUGCUGAAUGUUGUCUCUUUGGGGAUUACAUGAAUGACACAUCUUUUCAGUCAAUAACAAAAUACCUAUUUAAAUUUUCUCUUGGGCUUGGAAAACACCAGUCAAGGUAAGCACAAAAACUAUUCAUUCUUUCCUGUCAGUUUUGCUACUUCUCCCAUCUCCAGUCUCAUACACAAAAUGUGAAGGUUAAAAUCCUGUAAACCCGGGGUUUCCAAAAGCACAAGAUGAUGUAAGUGAGCCUACAGGAAAUUUAUGUGUGGCUUCAUUGUGUUCCAGAAAUUGCCAGUUGAAGGCACCUCUGGAAGUCCCCUCAAAGCAGAAUUACUGCCAGCCAUGGCCUUGCCUGCCCAAAGUCUUAAAACCUCCAAGGACAGAGGUUCCACCAUGUCUCUGUAUUUCCCCUAAUCCCUAAACCAAACUGACUUGCAAGUUUCCUCUUCCAGUAUUGUCCAUAACUACCAAGAAGAGUUUGGCUCUAUCAUCUUUGUAACAAACCUUCAGCUGGUUGUAGGCUGCUGUUCUUCUUGUUUUAAAAAUCUCUCUGUGACUCCUGUGGAGAGCUAUGAAUCUCUUUUAUCUGCACUAGAGCUCUGUUAUCUUGCUGUGCUAGCCAGCACCUAACACAACUGCAAUUUCUUUACGCUGGUAAAUUAAAUGCUACCCGGGGCUUGGAAUAACUUGGCACAGAGUGGGGCACUGCCUGUAUUCAGGAGGUUUGGGGAUGAUUGUUUGUACACCUUCCACAGCAUGCUAACUACUAAAGAAGCAAACACAGACAUAUAAUUCCUGAUCUUAAGUACUCACUAAUUUGGAAACAGAUUCCAGUUUGUUUUGACAAAUGACCAAAUGUGAACAGUACUGGAAGAUUUUCUUGCACCCUAAUUGCAAAAUUUGAGCUUGUUAGCUCUAAAUAAGACUAUGAUCCAGCUUUUGCGAAAUUAUUUUAAGCAGAAAAGCUGGAUCCUUGACUCAAUUAAUUUGACUCUACCCUAGAUACCUCAGCUUAGUGUUUAUAAGUACAUCAGAUUCUUUUCACAAGCACCUGAGUGGGCCUUAGACUCAGAGAAGAACAUUGAUUUUCUUAUAGAGUGGUCCAAUAACUUAAUAUUGGAGCUUUUGAAAACUUUAGGGAGACUCUGAUAAUAUUCAAAUAUUUAAAAGAAAAAUUAUUAGGCAUCACCCCAGAGGCAUCACCCCACCUGUUAUAGCAAAUAGGUAGUAUAGAAAAAGAAUGCCAGUUGGACACAGUAGUGUGUAAUAUGGCAGAAUCGUAAAUUGGACACAUUACAUGACACAGUUUGUUUUGAACUGUAUUUUCAGAAAAAUUUUUUGAACUGUAUUUUCCAUCUGCCUUGCAACCACUUUUCUACGAGGACAGAGUUGGUGCUGUAGGUUUGGGAUCUGUGUGCUGUGGGUUGUUUUCACUUUGAUAACAUUUAGCUCUAUUCAAAUAUAGGAAUUUAUGAAAAAAAUUUAAAUCUGGAUGAAUAAGAAGGUGUUUGACAGUUCAUGUUUGAUAAAUAACAUGUUUGACAGCUCAAGCCCUGAAUCUACAGAACCUAAACUUCAUUUAUUGCAGGAGCAAUGCCUCAAGCACGACCUCAGUGGAGCUCUGGAUUUCACUAUCAGGAGCAGCAGUGAAUUACCAGGGCUGGCUGGGUUACUCAGAGCCCUCCCAUCUCUUUGUCCAGCGCUGCAGAACUUGGAUGUUCUGAGGAGGAGAGACAGAUGGCAUCCGAGCGCUCAGUACUGCAGAGUUUGAUACUCCUGUGUGUAUGAAAUGCCUCAAGUGUCAGCAGACAUUAUGUUUGAGUUAUGUAUUGUGAGAGUCCAACACAGAAAUGGAAUUUUAAAAUUUGCAGAUUUGCUGCUUGGAGGAAGCCUGUGCAGUACCAAGGGCAGCACUGAGGCAUGGAAAUGCCAAAGUUUUCAGGUCCGUGAAAUGAAAGACGCUGCAGUACUAAGCAGUGUGAAUUUCUCAGGCUACCUUUAGGUACUGGAAGGCCACAGAUAGACAUCUUCACUCACCAAGCAUGAAAUCAAAUUAAAAAGAAGUCAAAUGCAGAAAAAAAAAUCAGUCUCUUUUAAGUUUUUGAUGAUCCUGAAUCAAGAAUUGCUUUAUUGCUCCACAAUAGAUACCUCCUGUACCAGAGAAGCAUGGCAGUGCCCUUCAGCUGCAGAUGUGGCUAUGGGAGCAUUUCACAUAAAUUACUAUGUAUCCUUAAACAUGUAUGACAUUUUUGACUUCUGUUGGGAUUAUUUAUUAUACUAGUUUAAUCAAACAAUUUAUCAAAUUAUUUCUACCAACUGUUAGCAGUUUUGAUAUCUUCUGUAAAAGCAACCACAGCUAAGUUUGGGGUGGAGGUGGGGGUGUUCUAUGAAUAAAAUAUAUUUCUUCAUGAGUUUAUUAAAAGCAUUUGCAAUAAGCAGCCUACCCAACCAGAUCACAGCUUUGAGAAAAUGAUUACUGUUUUUCCUUGUGAUUCAAGAAUGCACUGAGCAAAUGUCAGUUUUGGGGAGCUGAUUCAAUUCAAGGCGAACAAUUUCAUUCACAGUGAGUAUCAUAAGCUUUGCCUCUUGUCUAACAAGUUCCUGAUCCUGCUAAAAACAUGUCAUAUAACUGCGAGACAAAUGUGUCAGCAAAUCAAUUGUCACACUUCAUCUAUUUCUUGAAACUGGCCAUGUUUUCAUUGAGUUCAUUAAACAAUUGGUAUCACCCUUUGAUACAUUUGGAGUAUACAGCUAGAACAACAAUUACAGGGCAAAAAAAGUAACCUCUCAUGCUCAGUAAUAAUCAAGGUAUAUGUGCAACUAUAUACAAGUAUACAUACACCUGUCUACAUAGCUUUAGCAGGAACUGAUAUUUUGUCUUUACCUCAAUGACAAGUCACCUUUUUUCCUUUCUUUUAUUUCUUUCCUCCCUUCCUCCCUUCACCCCCCACACAUUAAGUGUGCUGUCUUUGGUAUAAGUACACAGGCAAAAAAAGGUAAUCUCUGAGUUUAUUUCCCUUCAGGAUUUGAAAAAAGCCAUUAUCUGCUCAGUACCUCAUCACAGAAAAACACUAUGUGCUGCCAGUGUGGCAGAAUUCUGUGUCACUUGGAUCUUCCCUUAUUUGUAGAAGUGAUAAGUACUGGAUCUGUCAAGUGACAAAAUCAUUGGCUGUGACCUAAAUUCUCCCUAAAACAUGGUAUGGAGAAAGAACCCACACACAUAGCUUUAACUUCUCAAUCCUACUCUGUCUUCAGUUGCUUGCUGUGACCUUUCUUAGAAAGGAUAAGCUUAUUCACAGAAGAGAUAAUCGCCUCUGCAAAAUGUUUGCUCCCAUUUUAUGAAAGAGUUGAAAGUUUCUGACUUUUCUUAAUUUGCUCAUUGUAUUUCCACUUAACUGGAAUUACCACAACUUGGUAUCUGUUCCUCUUCUACUCACAACAAAUUCCACGCUGGCUUCAAGCCCUAAAAAGGAACUUCUGAUAUGCUGUUGGAUUAGACUUCUGCUUUUGUUAAAAAUAAUGAGCAACACUUGAAAAUUAUGAAAGUAUUAAUCCCUCCAAUUAGUUUGUGAACUCUUUACUGUGAUCUUGAGAGCUGUAGACCCUAAACGGUAUUCUAAUUAUGAAAUGAGAACACUGAAGCCACUGAGAUACUCUAGUUUGAAGAGAUUAUAAGAGAAAAAAUGACUAACAGUGGUGAGUUAUGUUGUUUCUAAGAGCAACCAGCUUUGCUUCUGUUUUGUUGGCAAUCUUGUUGGCUGACAUUUAGAACAAAAUGUAAUUGUUUUGACUGCAAAUACUUGCAAUUGAAAGAUAAUAGUCCAUGAAAAUGCCUUCCUGAAAAAUAUGCUUAUAAAAUUGUGCAAUCAGAGUGCUUUUGUGCUCAUGUGCCUUUGUUUCAGACAUUCAAUGGCUAAAUACGGGGACAUCAAUUCCUAGAGACUGUAUUUUUUGAGUAAAUCAGUUGAUUGCUAUAAAAUGCUGUCUUCUCAAACAAGCACUUUUAAUAAUAACACUUGGGGGACAAAAUAUUUAGCAGCAAACAGUGUUCCUCAGUGUGUAUCAGAAGACAGAUAUAUGAUAGCCCAAGUAUUUCUUAUCCAUCCUUUUUAGGCUAUAAGCAAAUUUUGUAUUCAAUUACUUAAAAGAAUAGUUUGAACUAAACUUAUACAAGGAUAUUAGGGCAUAGACCAAAAUAAUAUAAUAAAAUAUUUUGAAGAUUCUAAACAUUUUAAAAAAUUAUUGCUAGGUUAAAAAAAAUUCUUACAUUUCUGUAAAUUCUAAGUGAAAUAAAAAUAUAAACUAAAUUGAUAUUGGUAACUAUAUUAUUUUCUUUUCCUCAGAAUUAGUAUUUCAAACAAGGGGAAUUUCAAGCAGGGGAAUACCUACUGUUAAAUUUUUGGCAUAAAAUAGACACUUCCCUUUCCGACUUUCAUGAAUGAUUCAUAGGUUAGUUUAUUUUUUGUUUAAACUUGAUGUGACAUUUUUGAUCUGCACAUGGAUUCAUGAAAUCUAAUAAGUAGCUCUAAAAACAGAAGGACAGAUCAUUAUUACACAAUAGCAGAAUUAGAAAUCACUCCUUUUGUCUAAACAAAAUUCUGGAGGAAUUCACCUCACAUAAUUCCAGUAUUUCUGCAAUCAUAUAACCAGUGUGAUAUCAUAUGAACUCUGCGUACUCUCAGAAGCCUAAAUUUUCCAAUCAUAAAAGGAGAAUUUAAUUUCUUGGUUUUGUAAUAUAAUACCACUGCUAUUAAUAAUUUUAUUAGCUUAAGCUACGUCAGUGUGGUAGAGUUAAUGUUUCUGUAGAAUGUCACACUAAGAUUGUUUGAUGGUACACAAUGCAACAAGGAAAAGAAGAAAAAUAGGCAAUGAGAGGACUUUUUUUGUAAACCAUUUGAAAUCAUUGUAGUUUAGUUUGUUGAAUAGUCACUGAAUUUUCAAAGACACAAAUUCAGAAUUUUAAAAAAAUGUUACAAUUAAAACUAUUAUUGCCAUUACUAUUCACUUUGCUUUUAUAUGUGGCCUAUGUUUUUUAUUGCCCAGACAGAUACUUAGAAAGUGAAGACGGAUCUGAGCUCAGCAUGUGCAGGGUCUGUGAAAUGAGAAAAAUGUACAUGGAUCAAAAAUCAACGUAAAAAUAAAAAAUUUUUAAAAAGAGGUAAGAAAACCAGUAAAAGUAGAAGAAUUGAUUAUGAGAGUUUACAUUAUUUUACUAUUUUAUAUUAUCCAUUAUGAUAUGCUUCAUUAUCAAGCUUUAAUGACACUCUUAAUUUUGUUUCAAUUUUUCUGCCAGUGAUGAUAUUUGGCAUUUUCUUCAGACAAAAAACUGAUUCAUUUGCAGGAGAGAAACAAUGGAAAUUAGUACAAGCAAAGUUAGGUCAAAUAUGCCCAACUCAAAUAAAAAUAGAGAAAUGUAUUUUGUCAAGCCUCUUUGUUAGGUGUUAUUUCUAAUAAAAGCACAUUACAAAAGUUAUAUUGAUUGAUGGACAGAGUUAAAAGCAGAAGAGUUAUACUAAAAGAUUUAUAAAAUGAAUGUUUGACAGGUCUGAUAUGGAAGAAUAAAAAAGUCUUUUUAAAGGCGUUUUUAUUAUCAUUAUAUUCUUUUCUACUUUGUGGAACUGACUAUUAUUAUGACAAUAUAAAACCUUCUGAGAUACAUGUACAUUUUUUUAUAUUGUGGUUAUCAGUUAUUUGACACAUAGAAAAAUAGCUAUUAAACAAGUCUUUCUUCAUAUUUUAAUCUGUUCAAAUUCCAGCUCAUUUUUCUGAAUGUCUUGGCAGUUCUGAAGGUGGUGUGAGGAAGGGCAAACAGCUUUAAUAUAUGAACUUAUAGUGGCAGUAGUAGGAACAAACGUUGGUGAGAAUUUAAUUUGUGAAAGCUUUGAUUCCAGACCACAAGAGCACAUUUUAACAACGUGAAAAUAAUCAAUGAUGACUCCAUUUUACAAGCACUAAAGGAAGAAAAAUGCUCAGAAAUGGAAUCAAUGACCCAGAAAACAAGCUCAAAUUCAAAGAAGCCAAUUAUGCACCAUGGGCAGUGCGGAGCAGAGGAAUAUUUUUCAAAAAGUUCAGGCAAAGGCAUAAUGUAUGAGCAAACACUAAAAGAAUAUUUUAGAUCAUCAUCCACGUGAGUGAUGUGCAUUUGCAACAUGACCGGCAGUCUUGACAGUGACAAGAAGGAGGACAGACACUACUGUUGUGUUCAUGCACAAAGCAAUUUUACCCUGGGAGGAGACAGCAGAAGAGAC